CCUUUGGAAAGCUUCACAUAGAAAUUGUGAAUAUGAGUUCCUCUUUUCAUGGAAAUGAAUCGGAACUGAAGCAGUUCCAUUCUUGGAAAAUAUACAUAGGCAAUAAAGUGUAUUGUUAAUGAUUUCACCUUCCAGUAGGGAUCGUGAAGCGCUAAAUAGCGACAUAAAAUUUAUGUCAACGUUGGUAACGUGAUUGUAACAUUGGCUUCCUCCGGAUGUUAGCAAAUUUGGAAUUUCUUCAAGGCGAAGUAAUAUGGAAGAAGAGUAUAUCUUGGCAUAUAAGGCUAAAGGAGCGACGAGACGAACGAGUUACGAAUAGCCGCUAACAGGUUCCCGAGCCGGUUCUGUUAUCGUGCGCGCUUUGAUAUACUCCGGAGUUAUGCUGUGUUUAUGGUUCACCGAGCUACUCGCAAAAGAGGGUCGGGUUCCACAUAUAUUUGGUGUUAUGCUGUGUAUGGCGUUAUGUUGUGAUGUGAUAUGUGACGGGGAUACGGAGAUUUGAAACCUUCUGGUGUUAUGCUGUGUUAUAGCGCCAUCGACGGGCGGGCGACCAUAUUCUUCUGUACCUUAUGCAUGACUUAUAUUUUGAAAGUAAACAUUUUGAUAUGUUGGAUUUAUACUUAUGUUCUGUACUACUAUUUCGUUUAUGCCUCAGAUUUGUUCCUGUACUUUCUGCUUUGCAUACUCAGUACAUAUUUCGUACUGACCCCCUUUCUUCGGGGGGGCUGCGUUUCAUGCCCGCAGGUACAGACGCACAGUUUGGUGAUCCACCAGUUUAGGACAUCCUCUUCUGCUGUUUGGAGUGCUCCUCUUAUUCCGGAGCCUACAUUUUGGUAUAUAUACUUGUUUGAUGCAUAUGUAUAUAUUUGUUCAGGGGUACGGCGGGGCCCUGUUCUGCCAUAUGAUCCGUUUGGUCUGUUUAGAGGUCUGUAGACGUAUUUGUGGGUGUGUGUGCCUACUUCUGUUCAGAUGUGUUUGUAUGAUCCUAUUCGCUAUGGCAGCCUUGUCGGCGUGCAUUUGUAUAUGUUUUGGGCCGUUGUGCCAUUUGAUAGCCUUGUCGGCUUUUGAUACAUUCGAUAGCCUUGCCGGCUUUUUGAUAUAUGUAUAUGCAUAUGGUUGUGUUUGAAAUAUGUCUAAGACAGUUUGAUAUAAUUUGAGGCAGCGUGUGAUA